UGUGGCCUACGGGGGGCAGCAGUAGGGAAUCUUCCACAAUGGACGAAAGUCUGAUGGAGCAACGCCGCGUGAGUGAAGAAGGGUUUCGGCUCGUAAAGCUCUGUUGGGAGUGAAGAAAGAUAGAGGUAGUAACUGGCCUUUAUUUGACGGUAAUUACUUAGAAAGUCACGGCUAACUACCUGCCAGCAGCCGCGGGAAUACGUAGGUGGCAAGCGUUGUCCGGAUUUAGUGGGCGUAAAACGAGUG
rnacentral:rRNA from 1 species